rnacentral:rRNA from 1 species
ACGGAGGGUGCAAGCGUUGUUCGGAAUCAUUGGGCGUAAAGCGCGCGCAGGCGGUUUGCCAAGUCUGAUGUGAAAGCCCGGGGCUCAACCUCGGAACUGCAUUGGAAACUGGUAGACUUGAGUAUGAGAGGGGUUUGUGGAAUUCCUGGUGUAGGGGUGAAAUCCGUAGAGAUCAGGAGGAACACCGGUGGCGAAGGCGACAAACUGGAUCAUUACUGACGCUGAGGUGCGAAAGCGUGGGGAGCAAACAGG